UACGUAGGAGGCAAGCGUUGUCCGGAAUCAUUGGGCGUAAAGCGCACGUAGGCGGCCUGUUAAGUCGGGUGUGAAAGCCCUGGGCUCAACCCAGGAAGUGCACUCGAAACUGGCGGGCUUGAAUAUGGAAGAGGGUCGCGGAAUUCCCGGUGUAGAGGUGAAAUUCGUAGAUAUCGGGAGGAACACCAGUGGCGAAGGCGGCGACCUGGGCCAAUAUUGACGCUGAGGUGCGAAAGCGUGGGGAGCAAACAGG
rnacentral:rRNA from 1 species